CGCUUUGACCGAACAUAGGAGAACAAGAAAAUCCCCCGUACCUCCGCGUCUGCCUAAUUUCUCGCCCACCUCCCCUUCCCUGAGCCACCGCCCAUGGCGAGCUCUUCCCCGCCCGAGCUACCCUCGCCGAACUUCUUCGUGGCUGGCGGCGACGUGGGUCAGGUCCUCGGCCUCUUCUGCUGCCCCGGCCGCCUCUUUCCCGCCCGAGCUCCCCUGUCCGACCUUCUUCGUGGCUGGAGGCGGCGUGGGUCGGAUCCUCGGCCUCCUCUACCGCCACGGCCGCUGCCAAGGCGGCCUAGCUUCUCCGCCGGCUGAUCUGCCAUGUGCGUGUUCCAUGGCUACCAGGGCGUCCGCCGCGGCCGCUCCAACUGGCCACACGUCUAGCUUCUCGGUACCGGUUCCUCGAUCUACAUCCGUUGCACUUCGCCCAGUGUCCGUCGCGGUUUCAUCUAGGAGGAAGCAGAUAAUAGGCGCGGGCGUGCGCGACUGCAUCGUGGGAGCCUGGGUGUAAGGGCGGUGGUGAUUCAAGAGCACAGACCUGCAGCGUUCAGUGGCCACGGGCCCAUCUCGCCUUUCUGGUAGGCAGGUUCAAGCCGGAGCAAAUAGUGCGGCGUUUGCUAUCCGAAACAACUAGGAGAUUUAGUUGGCUGUUACAUCUUCAGGGUGCUGCUCAUGAUUAGGCUCCAAGCUGUGGUUCGAAUCAGCACAAGUUCCAGGCCGGUCACUGUUCAGUUCAGUUGCUCACCUGAUAGAUAUGAGGGUUGCAAUCCUCAGAGAUGUUGUUCUCUUGCUGCAAGUGGUUAAAGAAGUACUGCCCCAGCUAAUCGGCAUUAAUACUGCACAUACAGUUCUGAUCUAACCAAAGAAAACUGAACUUCAUGAUUAUAUUCGUUUAUUAGGACAAGCAACGUUGAUAACAUGCUGUAAGUGAAAAUUCUACAGUGUAGAGAGAGCCUCACAUUUCAUUAUGAACAUGCUUAUUUGAACUUUCACUUGCUACCAUGCAGUUUCAUGUUAUUUUAUUGUCACAUUGUUCAGGUAUUCCUAGAAGAGUUUAGGUUUUCUCAAAAGUAAGAAGUGCCCAGGAUUUUUGCUCCCAUAUGUGGAUAUCGAAUUUCCUGAGGUAUCGUGAAGCAUCGUCUGAGAGAUUUCUCAUUCCCUGUGAUGGGUUCAGCUGGCACUUCUGUAUAUAGUAUACAGAAGCAGAACAUUGGCCUGAUUAUGAAGAACUUGCAUAAUUUUGUUUAUGUGCAUUAGUUUACCUUCAGUGGAUCUGACCUGCCGCUGCCCAUUAUUCCCUCCCAAGGCAUAAUUAUGAAGAACUUGCACAGAUUAUUAUUAGUGCAACCAACUCAAAAUUGAUAUUGGAGAUACUUCAUUCUUUCAAUGUCAGUUUGGCUGGACAUGUUGAAAAUUAUCUUGGUCAGAUCUCCCAUUCUCCUCCUUUACCAUGUGUUAUCAUAAGCGUCAGUUUUUAUUUUUCAGUCUGUGGAGAAGGAUGUUAGGACAUACUCUACCUUUUAUUAUCAAUCCCAGCGUGUAUGACUUCCAGAUGCAAUUUUUUUUUUUUGGAAAAUGUGCAGAAAUUCACAAUCACACUACAAGUUUGCAAUACGCAAUAACUAUAGACUGUAGUUGAAGGAAAAUAUGAUAACACACAUGUGUGUUUGAUUUAAGAUUCAUUACCUAUUUCCACUUCAUUGUUAGCUGAAUGUUUCCACUUCAUAUGUCUUAUAAUUGCUUCCCAAUUCUCGGUUAGUAUGCAUUAAUUUUGGAAUUCAUUGAAAGUAGAUGCAUUAGAGAAGCUAAUUUUUUUAAUUCAGGUGUCGGCUGCCUGAUGAAAAUAGGAGUGGCCUAAACAUGGAUGUCUGUUCACGAAUCGAGAAUUACCUGAGACCUACAUGAUUAUGUUAUUUUGUUCCGCUGAAGAACAUGUAGAUCUUGAACUUAGUACUUGAGAGCUAAACUCAUGUACAACUAAACUUACUCUUUACACAUUUUAAUUGUAUACUGUACAACUCAAAUGGACGUACUGCUCAAAUAACUGUGAGACGGAUUUUUGAAAUUGUUAAUUUGUGAUCAUGAUA